ACAUCAGGAAGGGUGGAACUUGCUGCUGUAAUUGAGUGGCUUUAUGAUCCGGAAACAGCGGCAAAACAAACUCACUCCCGUACAUGACAGAUUGAAUAACAGGAGCAGUCACAUCUUGCAGAAGGCUGCAGGCUGGCUGCAAGGACAAGGGGCAAGAGAACAAGGAGCAACAGAGAUCCAGUUUGUUUUGGAGAGGAGAAAACCUCAGCGGGUAAUUCUGCUCCCAGUAGAAACCUCCUGAACGAUGAACACUGAACGAAUGCUAACCAGGAGAAGCUGACUGCAGUGCCGGCAACGGUCGUGAAGACAACAACUCCCAUGAUCCCACACUACCUCACUACGUCAUCAAACUCCGUCUUUUAUUAUUGUUUUGAUGUGAGAGACCCCUUGGCAGGAGAAAUUACACAUUGUCUGUUUAAUAAGUGCCAAAAAGAGAGCAAACCGUAAAUGUAGAGUUUAGUCUCCAGUGUCGUGGAGCUCGGAUGAACUGAAGCCAUGAAACAGCUGCGUGGAGUGAAAGGAGACAGCAUAAUCCACACAUCAAUUAGACACAGAGAGACUGGAUGAUACGGCGAGGGUGUGUGUGUCUGUGCAUAUGCUGUGGAUACUGGUCUCAAGCGUGUGUGUGUGUGUGUGUGUGUGUGUGUGUGUGAGAGAGAAAGAGCAUGUGUGAAAGCCUUGAGUAAUCCUGCUUAGUCUAGCAGCUGGGGGAGCAGGUUGAAGUAGUGUGACAGUAUGAAGGGCUGGGUGAGGGUUUAAUACUAAAACUACUGUCAACAAUAGAAUACACACAUAAUAUUUAACAAAGAAUGUGCGAGAGUGUGUGUACAACAGCACUGCCAGGAAGUAAUGUGCUUGGGGGAUAGUAGUAAGGGGCUGAGAGUAAGUAAAUUAACUCAUGUAGAGCAGCUCUGCUCAAACAGCAGGGACAGGGUCGUUAAUGUGGUCUCAAAGGGUUCACGCACACUACUAGAUUUAAUUAAGAUUUCUCAAACUAAUUACACAUGGCUGUUUUUUCUAACAUUAAGGCUGUUUCAAGGAAACCCGAAGAAAAACUAUUGUGCUUUCAGAAUGAUUUUCUACUAUAGAACGGUUUUUAUUGUAUUGUACUACAGAGAAUCUCAAUAUCUUCUUGUUCUCAACCACAAUGUAACUGAAAACGACAUUACGUUAGUGUAUUUUACAACUGAAGAUUUAAAAACUUUAUAUUUCUCAAAGUAAGUAUAAAAAUCAUCAUAUAAUUUUGAUAUCAGCACUAAAACUCAGCUAUGGUAUUUUAAAUAGCAUCAACAAUGCCAAACAAUAUCCACCCCUACUAAACUAUA